rnacentral:rRNA from 1 species
AGAAUCAACGCUGGCGGCGUGCCUAACACAUGCAAGUCGAACGAGAAAGGGGAGCAAUCCCUGAGUACAGUGGCGACCGGGUGAGUAACACGUGACCAAUCUACCUUCGAGUGGGGGAUAACUCCGGGAAACCGGGCUAAUACCGCAUAACAUCUUUGGAAUGCAAAUUCCGUUGAUCAAAGGAGCAAUUCGCUUGAAGAGGAGGUCGCGGCUGAUUAGCUAGUUGGCGGGGUAAUGGCCCACCAAGGCGAAGAUCGGUAUCCGGCCUGAGAGGGCGCACGGACACACUGGAACUGAAACACGGUCCAGACUCCUACGGAGGCAGCAGUGGGGAAUUUUGCGCAAUGGGGAAACCCUGACGCAGCAACGCCGCGUGGAGGAUGAAGUCCCUUGGGACGUAAACUCCUUUCGACCAAGACGAUAAUGACGGUACUGGUGGAAGAAGCACCGGCUAACUCUGCGCCAGCAGCCGC